GUCUGGGAUAGCUCAGCUGGUAGAGCAUGAGGCUUUUAAUCUCAGGGUUGUGGGUUCGAGUCCCUCCUCAGGCA